rnacentral:rRNA from 1 species
GAUGAACGCUGGCGGCGUGCCUAAUACAUGCAAGUCGAGCGAACAGACGAGGAGCUUGCUCCUCUGACGUUAGCGGCGGACGGGUGAGUAACACGUGGAUAACCUACCUAUAAGACUGGGAUAACUUCGGGAAACCGGAGCUAAUACCGGAUAAUAUAUUGAACCGCAUGGUUCAAUAGUGAAAGACGGUUUUGCUGUCACUUAUAGAUGGAUCCGCGCCGCAUUAGCUAGUUGGUAAGGUAACGGCUUACCAAGGCAACGAUGCGUAGCCGACCUGAGAGGGUGAUCGGCCACACUGGAACUGAGACACGGUCCAGACUCCUACGGUAGGCAGCAGUAGGGAAUCUUCCGCGAUGGGCGAAAGCUUGACGGAGCAACGCCGCGUGAGUGAUGAAGGUCUUCGGAUCGUAAAACUCUGUUAUUAGGGAAGAACAAAUGUGUAAGUAACUAUGCACGUCUUGACGGUACCUAAUCAGAAAGCCACGGCUAACUACGUG